GACGAACGCUGGCGGCGUGCUUAACACAUGCAAGUCGAACGGAAAGGCCCUGCUUUUGUGGGGUGCUCGAGUGGCGAACGGGUGAGUAACACGUGAGUAACCUGCCCUUGACUUUGGGAUAACUUCAGGAAACUGGGGCUAAUACCGGAUAGGAGCUCCUGCUGCAUGGUGGGGGUUGGAAAGUUUCGGCGGUUGGGGAUGGACUCGCGGCUUAUCAGCUUGUUGGUGGGGUAGUGUAUUACCAAGGCUUUGACGGGUAGCCGGCCUGAGAGGGGGACCGGACAAGUUGGGCUGGGACUGGGACACGCCCCCGGCGGGGAGGGGAGGGAGGGGUGGGGAAAAUGGGGGGGGGGGCGAGAGUCCGACCCGGCAGUGCCGGGUGGGGGGUGAGGGGGUUAGGGUUGUAGUUCCCUUUGAGAAGGGGUGUGAAUGAGAGUAAGGGGAAAAGAAGCGCCGGCUAACGCCGUG
rnacentral:rRNA from 1 species